rnacentral:rRNA from 1 species
AUUGAACGUUGGCGGCAGGCCUAACACAUGCAAGUCGAGCGGAUGAGUGGAGCUUGCUCCAUGAUUCAGCGGCGGACGGGUGAGUAAUGCCUAGGAAUCUGCCUAUUAGUGGGGGACAACGUUUCGAAAGGAACGCUAAUGCCGCAUACGUCCUACGGGAGAAAGCAGGGGACCUUCGGGCCUCGCGCUAAUAGAUGAGCCUAGGUCGGAUUAGCUAGUUGGUGAGGUAAUGGCUCACCAAGGCGACGAUCCGUAACUGGUCUGAGAGGAUGAUCAGUCAAACUGGAACUGAGACACGGUCCAGACUCCUACGGGAGGCAGCAGUGGGGAAUAUUGGACAAUGGGCGAAAGCCUGAUCCAGCCAUGCCGCGUGUGUGAAGAAGGUCUUCGGAUUGUAAAGCACUUUAAGUUGGGAGGAAGGGUUGUACGUUAAUACCGUGCAAUUUUGACGUUACCGACAGAAUAAGCACCGGCUAACUCUGUGCCAGCCGCCGCAGUAAUAC